GUAUAAGUUUUGUUGAACUUUAAGGGGUAGGCCAUGAUAGGCAAUGGGUCUUUGUUGUUUGCCAUGUUGUUUAGUAAUAUCCUUAGGCAUGGCUUUCCUUUUACAUUCAUACACAAAGAAAGGUUCAUUACAAUCAGUGGUGAACUUACGAUCAGCUGUCUUAUGGAGGUGUAUGUCACCUGCAAUAUAUUCCCUUUAGAGCUGGGCGCACAGAAUAUAGGUGCUUCUUGUGGCUCUUUUAGGGUCCCAAUUGAGUUAAUGGGAAAAAUAUAAAUUCAAAGGUUUGAUAACCUAAUGACCAAACUCUGGCAUCUAUUUUGGCCUUUCUGAACAGAGUUGGGAUGUGAAAACUAACAGAGAAGAGAAGGGGACCUCUGUGACAGGACUCCAUGUCUGCAAGCUUCAUUCUAGUCUUCUGCAAAGGGAGAUUAUCUUUUCUCCUGCUAUUAGGUCCCAAGAUAGGUAACUGGACAGAUGUUGUGGUGAAUAAUUAUAUUGAUUGCUAUAUCAAUAUAUAGGUUGAAAAAGCUGCAGUAACUAGUCUAAAGAGAUUUGCCUUCUUAACAUAAAGUGAUUUAUUUCUACCUUAGGUGAAAGAAAAGCAUACAUAGGUGUAAGGAUACAUGAUCAUUACAUCUUAGGUUGUUUCCAUAAUCCAUUAUAUGUAGUAUUUUAAAAUAAGUUCCAUCACAGACGCAACGAUUAAACACAGCAGUUGGUCGAAUCAUCAAUCUCCCUUUCAAUAACAAAUUUACCUCGUGUUUAUUUUCAGAUGUAAUUGCUAUCAGUUGAAGAGCUGGUUAAUGCAAAAGGAAGUCUGGGUUGAGUGAGACUCUCACCUAGUCCACAGAGAAGCUGACAUGACCCACAUCAACUUGCUCCUCCAGGAAACCCCUGUUUCCUGUUGCGGGGCAGCAGCAACACAUAGCUCAGCAAUUCUUCCCUCACCCUGUCAGGCUCACCUCACCUUGCAGAGCCUUGAAAUUGAAGAAGACACUUUCCAUCUAGAGGAAGACCUCAAACAUGCUUCUCUCCAGCCUUCUGAAGGUGGUCAUGGCUUCAUUGUGGCUAGGAUCCAGUAUUGCCCAGAAGGUAACUCAAGACCAACCAGUAAUAUUAGUGCAGGAGAAGGAGGUUGUGACCCUGGAUUGCAUAUAUGACACAAAUGAAUUCACUUAUAGUCUAUACUGGUACAAGCAGCCCAGCAGUGGGGCGAUGAUUCUCCUUAUUCGUCAGGAUUCUUAUAACCAGCAAAAUGCAACAGAAGGUCGCUACUCACUGAAUUUCCAGAAGGCAAACAAAUCCAUCAAACUUGCCAUCUCAGCUUCACAGCUGGAGGACUCUGCAGUGUAUUUCUGUGCACUGAGUGAGCCCACAGUGAGAGGCGUGUUGGAGGCAGGUAUACCAAAACCCAGGGCUCUGCUUGAUACAUCUGCCUGCUAUAGGGACCAGGGCAGGGAAUUGCCUUCACAGACAGGAAGUGGUUAGGGCUGUGGCAGCACAGGUGUAGGGUUAGAGGGAAAGCAUUCCUUCUAAGAACAUAUUUCUCUGGGUUCGUAGACCAGGUCUAGAGCUAUCAUUCAUCAAAAACAACCUUAUCCCUGAAAAUUUGGGUUCAAAUUUUUUAUUGAAGACAAAAAAUAGCCACAUAAAAUCCAUGCCAUUUAGUGAUUAGAAUGAGCUAGAAGAAUUGACUAAGGAAAUUCAGAGACAUCUGAUUCAAAAAUUAGUAAAAAUAUGCGUGAAUUUUUGGAUUUUCAAUUUGUUCAUUAAAUAUUUAUUGAAUAUAUAUUACAUUACAGGUAUUGUUUUGAAUAAGGAAGGUUGUGAAAUCUUUUUGUGAUUUUCCUCUUUUUGAAUAUUAUGCAGUUUUACACCGUUUAAUGAAGUCAUUUAAUUUAGUUUUGUUAGCUGAGUUUAUGGUACACUUGUUUACUUUCUAAGGUGCCUGAUAUGUCACAAACUUUGUGCUAAUCCUCAUUCUGUCUAUUAACACCUCUAGCAUGGAACAGCUGAAUUACCAUAAUGUAAGUUUUACCUGCCUCCCAUCAGUCUUAUCCACAAAAAGAUCAAUAAUUAGUGGCUCUGAAAAGGACAUUGUGAGAAGCAGACUAUGAAUUAUCUUGUUUCUCUGCUCUUGCCCUUCACUGCACCACUCCUUCAAAAGUAUUUUUGCCAUCAUGUGGCACAUUUUGGACACCUCCAGGCCCUCUUUUUCAAUCAGUGUUACACAAUCCCAAAUACUCCUUCCCUCAAAUUUCCUCCUUCUACCUCUAAUCCCAUUUUCUCAGUGUCUUAAAAUAUGAAUGGUAAUGGGUGGUUGCUAAGUGAUCUUGUAUUGUAACUGCCUCUUAUAUUUGCAUUUCAAAAGCAGUUGUGUAGAGUAGAAAUCUUAAAAGGAAUGUCAUACAGUCCCUUCAUUUUUAAGUGGUGCUGGAAAAAUUGGACAGCUACGUGUAAAAGGAUGAAAUUAGAACAGUCU